rnacentral:lncRNA from 1 species
CCUUGGUCAAUCCUCAGCACCACAUAAAAAUAAAUAAAUAAAUGAAUAAAUAAAUAAAGGUAUUGUGUCUAACUGCAACUAAAAAAUAAAUAUUUUUUUAAAAAAGAAAGAAAAUGAGACUAAGCCAGGCAGGGCAGGCCUGUAAUCUAAGUGGCUUGGGAGGUGGAGACAGGAGGAUUGCCAGUUCAGAGCUAGCCUCAGCAAAAGUAAGAUGCUAAAAAACUCAGUGAGACCCUGUCUCAAAAUAAAAUACAGAAUAGGGCUGGGGAUGUGACUCAGUAGUUGAGUGCCCAAGUUCAAUCCUCACUACAAAAAAAAAAAAAAGAAAGAAAAUGAGAAUAAAAGUGUCACUGAAAAACAAAAAUCAACUAAAGGUAAAAAAAACCCUGUAUGGAUGAAGUAUUGUUAAUUACUUAAAGUACAAGCAUUAAAUGUUUCAAUCAAUAGGCAGAAUGGAAUAAAAAAGAUCCAAUGAUAUUCUGUUUGCAACAGAUUCACAUUAAAACUAGAGAUUCAAGUAGAUUUAUAAUGAAAGAAUGAAAAGGGAUAUUCCAUUCAAAAGAUUGCUGGAAUGAUUGUACUAAUUUCACACAAAAUAGAUUUAAUGAGUAAAAAAUUACAAGACACUCAGGGACAUUACAUAAUAAAAUUUUUAUUGGUUCUUUUUAGUUAUACAUGACAAUAGAAUUAAUUUUGAUAUAAUUAUACAAGCAUGAAAUAUAUCUUAUUCUAGUUAGGAUGUACAUGUGUGAUGUACGUGAUGGUGGGAUUGAUGAUGGUGUAUUCAUAUAAGUACAUAGGAAAUUUGUUUUGGAUUUAUUGCACUGUCUUUCCUUUUAUUCCCUCUCUUCCCUUUCUCCCUCUUUACCUUAUCUACUGAACUUCUGUUUUCUCCUCUUCCCACUUAUUGUGGUUAGUAUACACAUAUCAGCAAAAACAUUCGACCUUUGGUUUUUUGGGACUGGUUUAUUUUACUUAGAAUAGUUGUCUCCAGGUCCAUCCAUUUAUUUAGAAAUGUCAUAAAGUCAUUCUUCUUUAUAACUGAGUAAUACUCCAUUGUGUAUGUAUACCACAUUUUCUUUGUCCAUUAUCUGUUGAAGAGCAUCUAGGUUGGUUCCAUAGCUUAGUAUUGUGAAUUGUGCUGCUAUAAACAUUGAUAUAAACAUCACUGUAAUAUGCUGAUUUAAAAUCUUUUGGAUUUAAACCAGGUUGAGAUAAAUGGGUCAAAUGGUGGUUCUAUUCCUAGGUUUUGAGGAAUCUCCAUACUGCUUUCCAGAGUGGUUGUACCAAUUUGCAGUCUCACUCAAUGUGUGAGUGUACCUUUUUCCCCACAUCCUUGCCAAUAUUUAUUGUUACUUGUAUUCUUGAUAAUUGCCAUUCUGAUUGGAGUGAGAUAGAAUCUCAGUGUAGUUUUAAUUUGCAUUUCUCCAAUUUCUAGAGAUGUUGAACAUUUUUUCAUGUAUUUAUUGACCAUUUGUAUUUCUUCUUUUGGAAGUAUCUGUUUAGUACUUUGCCCAUUUAUUGAUUGGGUUAUUUGGUUGUUUUAGUGUUGAGCUUUUUGAGUUCUUUGUAUAUCCUGGAAAUUAAAACCCUAUCUGAGGUACAGGUGGCAAAGAUUUUCUCUCAUUCUGUAGGCUGUCUCUUCAUACUCUUGAUUGUUUCCUUUGCUGUGGAGAAGCUUUCUAUUUUGAUAUCAUCCCAUUUAUUGAUUAUUGAUUUUACUUUUUGCACUUUAGGAGUAUUGUUAAGAAAGUCAGUUCCUGAGCUGACAUGUUGGAGUGUGGGCCUACAUUUUCUUCUAGUAGGUGCAGGGUUUCUGGUCUAAUUCCUAGGUCUUUGAUCCACUUUGAGUUGAAUUUUGUGCAGGGUGAGAGAUAGGGGUUAAAUUUCAUUUAUGUAGGGAUUUCCAGUUUUCCCAGCACCAUUUUUUGAAGAGGCUAUUUUUUUUCCAUUAUAUGUUUUUGGCACCUUUAUCAAGUUUGAGGUAACUGUAAUCUGUGGGUUUGUCUCUGUGUCUUCUAUUCUGUUCCAUUGGUCGUCUUAUCUGUUUUGGUACCAAUGUCAUACUGCUUUGUUACUAUAGCUCUGUACUAUAAUUUAAGGUCUAGUACUGUGAUGCCUCCUGCUUUGCUUUUCCUUGCUAAGGAUUGCUUUGGCUAUUCUGGGCCUCUUAAUUUUCCAGAUCAGUUUCAUGACUGCUUUUUUUUAUUAUUUAUAUGAGGAAUGUCAUUGGAAUUUUGAUGAGAAUUGCAUUGAAUCUGUAAAGCACUUUUGAUAGUAUGGCCAUUUUGAUAUAUUAAUUCUGCUUCUUCAAGAAUGUGGAGGGUCUUUCCAUCUUCUGAGGUCUUCCUCAAUUUCUUUCUUUGCUAUUCUGAAGUUUUCAUUGUAGAAGUUCUUUACCUCUUUUGUUAGAGUGAUUCCCAUGGGACUAUUGUGAAUGGGAUAGUUUUCCUAAUUUCUCUUUCAGCUAUUUGUUGUAAUAUAGGAAUGCAGUUGAUUUUGGGGUGUUAAUUUUGUAUCCUGCUACUUUGCUGAAUUCAUUUAUAAUUUCUAAAAGUUUUCUGGUGGAGUUUUUUUGGUCUUCUAAAUAUAAGAUCAUGUUGUCCGCAAACACAUAUAGUUUGAGCUCUUCUUUUCCUACUUGUGUCCCUUUAAUUUCUUUCUUUUGCCUAAUUGUUUCAGCUAGAAUUUCAAGGACUACGUUGAAUGGAAGUCGUAAAAGUGACCACCCUGUCUUGUUGCAGUUUUUAGAGGGAAUGUGUUCAAUUUUUCUCUGUUUAGAAUGAUGUCAACCUUGGAUUUGUUGUAUAUAGCUUCUACAGUGUUUAACUAUGUACCUUUUUAAAAAAAAAAAAAGUUUAUUUUUUAGUUCUAAGUGGACACAGUUUCUUUAUUUCAUUUUUUUAUGUAGUACUAAGGAUCCAACCCAGUGCCUCACACAUACUAGGGGAGUGCCCAACCACUGAGCCACAACCCCAGCCCAUGUUCCUUUUUCCCUAUUUUUUACAUAAUAAUUAUUAAAAAAUCAGUUCAUCAGAAAGAAUAAUAACUGUAAACUUACAUGCACUAAACAACAGAGUCCCAAAAUACAUGAAGCAAAUGUUGAAGAAUUAAAGGGAAAACAGAUGAUUUUACGGUAAUAGUUAAAUUUUAGUAGUCCAGUUUUCAGUAAUAGGACUGUUAGCAGAUGAAUAAAGAAAUACAGGUCUGAACAACAUUAUCAACAAAUUAGACCUAACAGACAUACAGAACAUUCCAUCAAAUAAUGGCAGAAUACCAUUUCUCAAUAUAUGAUAUUGGAUUAACUAGACAUUCAUUUGCAUAAGAAUGAGUUUGUAUCCUUGCCUUAUGCAGUAUAUAAAAAUUAAAAAUUUAUGAAUACCUAAGUUUAAGAGUUAACACUAUAAAACUCAUAGAAGAAGAGAUAGGAAAAAUCUUCAUGACAUUGGAUUUGGUGAUGAUUUGUUGGAUAUGACAGCAAUCGCAAAGACAACAAAAGAAGAAUAAGAAAUAGGGCUUCAUCAAACUUAAAAAUGUUGUGUAUCAAAGGCCAUUAUCAGGAGUAUUAAAGACAAUCUACAGAAUCAGAGAAGAUAUUUAUUAUUUCUGAUAAUAAUUAACAAGCAGAAUAUGUAAAGAACUCAAACUCAACAACAACAACAAAACAAAUUAAAAAUGAGCUAAGGACUCAUCUUCCAUAGAAGAUGUACAAGUGGCUGAUAAUCACAUGAAAAACAUAUUCAACAUCACUAGGCAUUUGGGAAAUGCAGAUCAAAACCACAGUGGGAUGCUACUUUACACCCACUGGGAUGACUAUUAUAAAAUAAAUAACAAAUCUUAGGAAAGAUGUGGAGAAACUAGAACCCUAUGCUUGCUAAUAGGAAUGUAAAAUGGUACAACCACUGUGGAAAACAGUUUGGCAAUUCCUCUUAUCAUAAAACAAGGAUUACCCUGUUUUCUAAUACUUCCACUUCUGUAUAUACCCAAAAUAAUUGAAAGCAGAGACUCAAACAGAUGAUUGCAUACCAGUAUUCAUAGGAGUAUUAUUCAUAGUAGCUAAAAUGUGGAAAUACUCCUAAUGUCCCUUGACAAAUUUUUAAAAUUUGGUAUAUUUAAUCAGUAGAAUAAUAUUCAGCCAUUAAAGGAAAGAGAUUCUGAUACAUGUUAUAAUGUGGAUGAACCUUAAAGACAUUCUACUAAGUGAAAUUAGACACAAAAGAGAAUUAUAUUAUUCCACUUAUUAGAUAUAUAGACAGAAUACAUGAUAGAGGUUGCCAAGAUGUGGAAGGAGGAGAGAAUGAGGAGUUAUUGUCUGAUGGGUAUAGAGGUGGGUAUUUUUGUUUAUUGGUUUUGUGAGUGUGUGUGUGUGUCUUUGUGAAAAUUCUGGAUAUGAAUAGUGAUGGUUGUACAAUAUUGUGAAUGUUCUUAAUGCCACUGAAUUAUAUAAUUAAAAGCCAUUAAAACUAUAAAUUUUACAUUAAGCAUGUUUUACCAUAUUAAAGAUUUUGUACCCAAUAGUUUACUUGAUGUCUGAUGAAAAUUAGUGGGAUUGAUUUUGUGGUAGAAAAAGUUUCCAUGUAGACAGAAGGACAAAUACAGUGUUUGUCAAUCUAGUGUUCAUAACAUCCUUGAUGUUAAUUGACUAUUUUGUUUCAUAUUAAUUAUAUCCAGAACAACAGGUUGAACGGUUAUUUUACUUUAUAACUUAAAGACUUUAUAGACAAGAAUCUGAACGAAAUGCAGGGUUUUUCCUUCUCUGACCUAAAGAUAAGCAGUAGGAACCUACUACUAUGACAAAACUCCAGUCUUUCUUCUGGAAUAUAUUAUGAUGGGGACUGUUCUCAACCACUAUCUUAACAUUGUUUUUUUCAGAGCUAGCUCAAAGACCGGUUGGCUCCCAAGAUAGCAAGCAGUGCUUAAAAGACUUUUUUCUAAAAUAGUACAUUUUUCUACAAGGAUACAGUAUGGCAAAAUGGUUAAAAGCUUAGACCUUGGCAUCAAACAGCCUCACUUGGAGUUUUGGCUUCACCAAAAGCUUUGUGACCUUUUGUAAAGUUGCCUAAUCGCUCCGUAACUCUUUUUUUUUUUUUGGUACUAGGAAUUGAACCCAGGGGCAUUUAACCACUGAGCCACAUCCCCAGUUAUCUACCCUCACCCCUCUCUGUUUUUUUUUUUUUUUUUUCUCUAUUUUAUUAGAGACAGGGUCUUGCUGAGUUGCUUAGGGCCCUGCUAAAUUGCCUAGGCUGGUUUUGAAUCCUCCUGCCUCAGCCUCCUGAGCCACUGGGAUUACAGGUGUGUGCCAACUGCACCAGCCUUCAUAACUCAUUUUUAAAAUUCAUCUGUAUGGAAGUAUAAUUUAUACUAUAUUACUUCAUAGAUAUUAAAUACUCAGCAAAUAUUAAUUGUUGCUGUUGCUGUUGCUGUUGCCUUUACUUAUAAAUGGGCUCAGGGUCCAGACCUGUAGUCAGGAGGAGUCUAGAAGAAUGUGUUUCUCAUUUAGCUUUCCAAGGUUCUUCUACUAAACACACUUUCUUUUCCUCUCAAUCCUCUAAUGGUAUCAUUCUGUACUACCUGCAACCUUUUCUUUUUUGGGAGUGUGUUUGGACUGCUCAUCAAAAUUAGAGACUGAGCAACCCAUUUUAAUUUUGUUAUAUUUUAAAAUUUAUUAGCAUAUUAUAACUAGAGUUCACUAAGCAAUAUUUUUCAUUCACUCGGUUUUUUAAAAUAUUUGCUGAAUCCCAGUCUUUUCUUUCUCCCAUUGGCCUUCAUCCUUUUUGGACCUUAGAUGUUGAGAGUAGAUUAAUUAUAUCCUUCAGCUCCAUAACAUACUAUUGUCAUCAGUAUGUCCCUCUCUGGUCUUAUUUUUACCCUUCAAACCUAACCUCCACCCUGUAUGUUCUUCCCUUUGAGUAUCUACUCUGAUAUGUCUUUACAUGCACUUUGUAAACAGGUAAUAGUUUUGUAUUUACUUAUGGGAAGAUAGUAUGCUGUGAAUAUCAACAUGACAUUUUAAAACUCUACCUAUGUUUUUUUAAAUUAUUUUUUAGCUGUCAAUGGAUCUUUUAUUUGUUUGUUUUGUUUAUAUGUGGUGCUGAGGAGCUAACCCAGGGUCUCACGCAUGCCAGGCAAGCGCUCUACCACUGAGCCACAACUCCAGCCCCCUAUCCAUUUUAUUUUAAUAUGAUUAUUAGUGCUUCUAACUUUUAACUGUAUUUUAAUCUGUUUUCCAAAAGAUGAACAUUUAGAUUACUGUCAGUUCCACACUACCACAAAAUGUCCUGCAGUAAACAUAGUUUUACAUUAAUAUUUGUAGAUGGGAUGAUAAUAUGUGUCCAAACUGGAAUGAUUUUGAAAUUGAAAAGGAACACUUAAUAACACUGGGGCAGAAGGUGUAUACCACGACUUCCAGACAAACCAGAUUAUGUGAACACCCUAUUCAUGAAAGAUUUUUCUAGAGUAUAGCUAAUAAUUAGAAGAUAUGUACUGGAUAGGCUUUCUCCUUCCAGUUGUUUCAGAUUGGCAUCUGUUCCAGUUUGUUGAUAAAAUGUGCUGGAUGAUUGUUGCAAAUUUAAAAUUUCACCCUUGCCAGAAAAUACUCCUAAAGGGGAUUUCUAGGUCACAGGUUAUAGACAUACUUAAUUUCAAUAGUUUAAGUUCUAAUGUAGUCUUUUCCUGUUUAUAGGUGGGUGGACUUUUAAAUCUGUCUAACCAUUUUUCAGGAGUUCUCACAUUUGUACUGUGUAUUUAUUCCUCCUUUUGCAGCAAAACUAUAUAGUUUUGGUAAGUAGCCAUUACUAGUUUAUUGAUAACUACUCCUAGAACCUUACUCCAAUAUAACAACUACUGUGUAUUUUAUAAAGAAUUUUUUUCAUAUUUUAUGU